GAGCCAGUAUGGCGUAGUGGUUUGAGCAUUGGACUUCAACUCUGGAAACCAAGGUUCAAUUCCUAGCUUGCCCA
rnacentral:tRNA from 1 species